rnacentral:rRNA from 1 species
UACGUAGGUGGCGAGCGUUAUCCGGAAUGAUUGGGCGUAAAGGGUGCGUAGGCGGCCUGCUAAGUCUGGAGUGAAAGGUACCGGCUCAACCGGUACAGGCUCUGGAAACUGGCGGGCUAGAGAGCAGGAGAGGGCGGUGGAACUCCAUGUGUAGCGGUAAAAUGCGUAGAUAUCUGGAGGAACAUCAGUGGCGAAGGCGGCCACCUGGACCGGUAUUGACGCUGAGGCGCGAAAGCGUGGGGAGCAAACAGG